rnacentral:lncRNA from 1 species
GUUUAAUCUCAGACUGCUGUGCUAGCAAUCAGCGAGACUCCAUGGGCGUAGGACCCUCCCAGCCAGGUGCAGGAUAUAAUCUCGUGGUGCGACAUUGUUUAAGCUGGUCGGAAAAGCGCAGUAUUCGGGUGGGAUUGACCUGAUUUUCCAGGUUCUGGUGGACAAUUUCCAGUCUGGAGUCUGCAUUUGGAGAGAUUCUACAGCACAUGCAUGAAUGAGGAGGAGGUGGUGUCCCAAGGGCAUUUAUAUCUUUGCUCUGUAUUUGGAGGAGAAUGGAGAGUUCCAAAUGAUCAGAGCUUGCACAUUACUAGAUCCCCUUUCUAAUGGAGUAUCUGCUGAGGAGACUGGAAUGAGGAAGGAAUUCAUUAAGUCUGAUUGUCUCUGAACAGCAAAGUUCCUGAGGUCAGUCUGAAGUGAAAUAAACUAUUCAAAAGCUUAAAAUACCCUGAAUAAGAAUAAAACAUGCCAGUAAUUAAAAUGAUUUGAGGAUUUUAUUCUAAAUACAUUUUAAAGAUCAAAGACUAAAUCUACCAACAGGCAAAGCAUGAAGACUAGAGUUCUGUGAAUUUAGCCUUUAGACUUAAUCUCUGAGGAAAAGAAAACCAAUCUCAGACAAAGACAUACGAA